rnacentral:tRNA from 1 species
UUAAUUGAAGCCAAAUUAGAGGCUUAUCACUGUUAAUGAUAGAAAUGAACUACUGUUCCAAUUAAA